rnacentral:rRNA from 1 species
GACGAACGCUGGCGGCGUGCUUAACACAUGCGAGUCGAACGAUGAAACCUAGCUUGCUAGGUCGAUUAGUGGCGAACGGGUGAGUAACACGUGAGUAAUCUGCCCCUGGCUUUGGGAUAGCCACCGGAAACGGUGAUUAAUACCGGAUACGACCACUUCUCGCAUGGGACGGUGGUGGAAAGUUUUUUCGGCCAGGGAUGUGCUCGCGGCCUAUCAGCUUGAUGGUGAGGUAAUGGCUCACCAUGGCUUCGACGGGUAGCCGGCCUGAGAGGGUGACCGGUCACACUGGGACUGAGACACGGCCCAGACUCCUACGGGAGGCAGCAGUGGGGAAUAUUGGACAAUGGGCGGAAGCCUGAUCCAGCAACGCCGCGUGAGGGAUGACGGCCUUCGGGUUGUAAACCUCUUUCAGCAGGGACGAAGCGCAAGUGACGGUACCUGCAGAAGAAGCACCGGCCAACUACGUGCCAGCCGCCGCCGUAA